AUCACACUGAGCCCUCUGCUGCCCCACUCUUCCCCGUAUGCCACAGCAACAGUGGUGAUGGGAGGUCAAAUAAGAAGCAUUGCACACCAAUCCCUGCUGCCUUUAGCAAACAGUUUGUUAGAAAGGGGUGAAGGACGGGUUGAUAGGCUCUCCCUUAUCUUUUCUGGCUGUUGCUAAGAGCAGUGGCUCAAUGCAGGGUGAGUCAGUCAUGCAGAUUGCAUCGCUAAGUGUGCACUCAGCAAUGUACUCAGAGAACAGGGGAGGAAACAAUGGAAGUUAGACUUCAGGGAAGAUGCUUUUGGAAUAGAGACCAUGUGACAUAUCUACAGUUGGAAGAGAUAUGUAACUGAAUAACCCACCUAAGUGAAGAACAAAGCAGGUUAGAUACACUUAUGGUCUGAGCGAUCACAUGUAAAGUGACUGUAAAAAGUUUCUUUUUUCUCAUUCUCUCCUAUUAGAUGCCUUUGUAUUAUUACAGAUGUAUGCAUUCAGUUGAACUUACCCUUGAUAAGACUGAAUUGACCUAACUGUGGGCUCUUUUGUUUGUUUGGAGAACUGUGUCACAAAAUUCAGAGGAGCACAUAUUUUGAAGGGUAACUACAUUUUGGUUUGUAUAUUGAUCCAGCGAAUGCAAAUUAGGUAGUGUCACAUUAAAAUAUGAACUCAACAAAUCUAUCCCCUAUGACACUCACUACCAUAUGACAUUUACCAUUUCCAUGAACACAUUUGCUGUACCAUCUACAAAAAAUUCGGGUCUAUUUUAGGGGAAAUUCAUUUUCCAUACAGCACAUAAAUUUGCUGUAUGGAUAUGAUAUUGUGCAAUAGCUGUGUUAAAAUGAUAUAUAUGAUAUGUGACUUGCUAUCAAAUUUGACCUUAAAAUACAAUGUGAAGUGAAUUCUUUAAGGAAAGUAAAAGCAAAUUUUCAUCUAGCUAAUGAAAGUCUCCAAAUGGUUCUACAAAUCCCUAAUUCUCUUGCCCUCUCAAAUCUCUGAAUAUCCAUUCUAAAUAGUUUCCACUACCACAUUUUGGAAGAAGAUCUCAGAGGAUUUUACUAUAUCCCCAAAUUGCCAGUGGAUCUGGCCUAAAGAACAACUGGAGACAAAUCCUGCUUGGGAAAACAUCCAAGACAUUUGGAGUAUUAAACAUGGAAUUUUUUCAA